rnacentral:lncRNA from 1 species
GGGGAUGUGAGUUAGAUGGGGAGCUGUGCAGUAUGUGUGGCCUGUGUGUUAGAUGUGUACAACCCGAGUUUCACAAAAAAAUAUUUAUUUCAUAGAUAUCAUAUGCCAUGGCAUGCUUUUUGCUAUGAAACCGCAGCCAUCUAGUCACUCACCAGAGAUGGAUGAGAAACUGCACCCCAGCCAGAGGGAAGGCCCCACAUCUGCAACAAAAUCCGUCGGUCACCAAAUUCUGUAAUCUCUGUCUCUUUGUCCAUUCUGUAUGUAUAGUACUCCCAAUUCUUAUAUUUAAUGCGGUGUGUCUCCCACAAUCUUUGUGUCUGUCUGCUGUAUGUAUGUGGCACGCAUGCACUGUGUCUGUUAUGCCAUUUCCUCUAACCAGUUUUUUUUUUAGUUUUUUUGUGUGUGUCACAACUCUGACAAGCAUGUUCUCCUAUGGGACACGAAGUACAUGAAGAGGAAUGAAGAAGCCCAUGUUUGAGGCUCAUCUCCAGGGUGGAGUAUUGAAUUUAUAAGUACUGAAGUGGCAUCUGGCACGUGACAAGCUGCUCCUGUUUGCACAGCGACUUCAACAUUGUGUACUGUGAUCACAGCCUAGUUCAGAGGUAGGUAACCUUGGGCAGUCCAGAUGCUGUGAAUUACACCUCCCAUAAUGUUGGCAAAGCAUUAUGGAAGGUGUAGUGCAAAACAUCUGGAAUAUCGAAUGUAUGGUGUGUGUGAAUGGUCAGUAACAAGGGUUGAAGCCUUGACGUGGUGUUACUGUAGUGGCUGUAAUACUUAUGAGGUAACCAUAAAUACUGUGACUAUGGAGAAUUAAACGCAUGUAUCACCUAAACACUGCUUAUACUGUGACCAUAUCUCCUAAACACUGCUUACACUGUGACCGUACAAUCUAAACACUGCUUAUACUGUGACCGUAUCUCUGAAACACUGCUUACACUGUGACUGUAUCAUAUAAACUGCUUAUACUUAUCGGGAUCCAUCAAAGGUGAAAUCAAGGGUUAUAUACUCCAUGCCACUUUAAUCGGGGUAAUAAAGUGUUCCAGAUAUAGUGCCCCAGUUUGAUCAGGUUUAAAUCAUUAUAUGUUAGACUGUUUUUUCAAUUCCAGAUCAAGUUUCAGUUUGAUGAGGGAGGUAGUUUAAAGCAUUACACACUAAGUGCAUUUUCUGUAUUUUAGAUCUGGUGUCCCAGUAUGGAAUGGAGACCAUCGUUCUGUUUAACAAGAGGUUAGUUGUGCAUCAUCUAUGACUGGCGGCUCAGCAGGAAUUCAACAGGUUCAUGAAAUGGAACCCUCUGUUGCAUUAGACCCAAUUCUGAGAUUAUGACCGAACCCUAAAGCACUUAAUAUUUUUAUGAAAUUUUAUUUAUGUAUUUUGAAUGUUGUGCAAAGACCCCAGAUGGCCACUGUUCCACUUGUAUUCCAGUGGCCAUGAAGGGCAGGUAAAGGUAGUUUUUACUUGACUUAAAAUGUAUGCAUCUUCUUUCUCAACGUCCUCUUCAGCUCCUGGAGCGUUAAUUUGCCAGGAGCCAACGGAAGCGCUCUACUCAAGUGCAUGCAUUAGCUCUGUCUUUUGUCAAAAGUAGGAAAAAUACUUAAAAUAAAGUUGUUCCUGUUUGCUCUUAAUUUGUGGGCGUGUUGAGGACUCCCUGCAUAAGAGACCAUUGGAUACAGAAGGCUGUACUAAAGGACGAUCUCAUCACAGCAUCACCCAAGAGGCCUCUUAAGAGUAAAGAGCGGCUAACAAUAUCUGGUAAUAGGCCACGUGCAAUUAUUAUGUAUGUAAUUAAUGUACAACAUACUUUUUUGUUACAUUAGAAAUUAACAAAUACUGUUAGACUUUUUGUUUACUGCUGCCUUAAAAAAAAAUAUUAAAAC